rnacentral:rRNA from 1 species
GACGAACGCUGGCGGCGUGCUUAACACAUGCAAGUCGAACGGUAAGGCCCUUCGGGGUACACGAGUGGCGAACGGGUGAGUAACGCGUGGGUGAUCUGCCCUGCACUUCGGGAUAAGCCUGGGACACUGGGUCUAAUACCGGAUAGGACCACUGCCUGCAUGGCCGGUGGUGGACAGCGUUUGCGGUGUGGGAUAGGCCCGCGGCCUAUCAGCUUGUUGGUGGGGUGAUGGCCGACCAAGGCGACGACGGGUAGCCGGCUUGAGAGGGAGACCGGCCACACUGGGACUGAGAUACGGCCCAGACUCCGACGGGAGGCAGCAGUGGGGAAUAUUGCACAAUGGGCGCAAGCCUGAUGCAGCGACGCCGCGUGAGGGAUGACGGCCUUCGGGUUGUAAACCUCUUUCAGCACCGACGAAGCGCACGUGACGGUCGGUGCAGAAGAAGGACCGGCCAACUACGUGCCAGCCGCCGCCGUAA